AUGUGCAGGCAAUGCUCACCCUGGGAUGAGGGUGGCAGCUUGGGAGCCACGACCCUGGAGGUCAAAGUCGGGGGCAACUCGGUGGCCCAUUCCUUGUCUGCCCUCCCUGCUGUCCAAAGUCCUCCACCUUUGGCUUGGGUAGGGUACCACAGCUGGGUAGGGGCUGGGAAAGGGCAGGCCACUGGGGGCAAAUGCUGGGUCUCUGAGGGCACCAGACUGCCAGGCAGGGGGACCCCAGGGCACUGCUCUCCACGCUGUGCAGGCAGAGACCCCAGGGCACUGCAAUCCACAACUCACUUAUCAGGCAGAGGGACCCCAGGGCAGUGGGCUCCACAGCUCACUGUCCAGACAGAGGGACCCCAGGGCACUGGGCUCCAUAGCUCACUGUCCAGAGAGAGGGCCCCAGGGCACUGCACUCCACAGCUCACUGUCCAGGCAGAGGGACCCCAGGGCACUGCGCUCCACAGCUCACUGUCCAGGCAGAGGGACCCCAGGGCACUGCGCUCCACAGCUCGCUGUCCAGGCAGAGGGACCCCAGGCACUGCAGUCCACAGCUCACUGUCCAGGCACAGGGACCCCAGAGCACUGCACUCCACAGCUCACUGUCCAGGCACAGAGACCCCAGAGCACUGAGCUCCACAGCUCACUGUCCAGACACAGAGACCCCAGGACACUGAGCUCCACAGCUCAAUGUCCAGGCAGAGAGACCCUAGAGCACUGAGCUCCACAGCUCACUGACCAGGCUGAGUGAACCCAGAGCACUGCACUCCACAGCUCACUGUUCAGGCAGAGUUACCCCAGGGCACUGGGCUCCACAGCUCACUGUCCAGGCAGAGGGACCCCAGGGCACUGCACUCCACAGCUCACUGUCCAGGCAAGGUACCCCAGGCACUGCAGUCCACAGCUCACUCUCCAGGCAGAGGGACCCCAGGGCACUGCACUCCUCAACUCACUGUACAAACAGAGGGAACCCAGGGCACUGCACUCCACAGCUCACUGUCCAGGCAGAGUUACCCCAGGGCACUGCACUGCACUGCUCACUGUUCAUGCAGAGGGACCCCAGGGCAAUGCACUCCUCAGCUCACUGUCCAGGCAGAGGUACCCGGGGAACUGCAGUCCACAGCUCACUGUCCAGGCAGAGGGACCCCAGGGCACUGCACUCCAUAGCUCACUGUCAGGUAGAGGGAAUCCAGGCACUGUACUCCACAGCUCACUGUCCAGGCAGGGGGACCCUAGGGCACUGCACUCCACAGCUCACUGUCCAGGCAGAGGGACCUCAGGGCACUGCACUCCACAGCUCAUUGUCCAGGCAAGGUACGCCAGGCACUGCAUUCCACAGCUCACUCUCCAGGCAGAGGGACCCCAGGGCACUAAACUCCUCAACUCACUGUACAAACAGAGGGAACCCAGGGCACUGCACUCCACAGCUCAUUGUCCAGGCACAGGGACCCCAGGACACUGGGGUCCACAACUCACUGUCCAGGCUGGGGGACCCUAGGGCAGUGGGCUCCACAGCUCACUGACCAGGCAGAGCGACCCCAGGGCACUGCACUCCACAGCUCAAUGUCCAGGCAGAGGUACCCCAGGGCACUGCAGUCCACAGCUCACUCUCCAGGCACAAGGGACCCCAGGG
rnacentral:lncRNA from 1 species